rnacentral:rRNA from 2 species
AAUACAUGCAAGUUGAGCGCACUGGCCCAAUUAGUAUGACGUGUUUGCACUGAAUUGACGUUGGAUUACCAGUGAGCGGCGGACGCGUGAGUAACACGUGGGCAACCUGCCCUGUAGCGGGGGAUAACAUCUGGAAACAGGUCCUAAUACCGGAUAACAACGAAAACCACAUGGUUUUCGUUUCAAAGUUGGUUUCGGCUAUCACUUCAGGAUGGGCCCGCGGUGCAUUAGCUAGUUGACAAGGUAACGGCUUACCAAGGCAGAUGAUGCAUAGCCGAGUUGAGAGACUGAUCGGCCACAAUGGAACUGAGACACGGUCCAUACUCCUACGGGAGGCAGCAGUAGGGAAUCUUCCACAAUGGGCGCAAGCCUGAUGGAGCAACACCGCGUGAGUGAAGAAGGGUUUCGGCUCGUAAAGCUCUGUUGUUGGAGAAGAACGUGCGUGAGAGUAACUGUUCACGCAGUGACGGUAUCCAACCAGAAAGUCACGGCUAACUACGUGCCAGCAGCCGCGGUAAUACGUAGGUGGCAAGCGUUAUCCGGAUUUAUUGGGCGUAAAGCGAGCGCAGGCGGUUGCUUAGGUCUGAUGUGAAAGCCUUCGGCUUAACCGAAGAAGGGCAUCGGAAAACCGGGCGACUUGAGUGCAGAAGAGGACAGUGGAACUCCAUGUGUAGCGGUGGAAUGCGUAGAUAUAUGGAAGAACACCAGUGGCGAAGGCGGCUGUCUGGUCUGCAACUGACGCUGAGGCUCGAAAGCAUGGGUAGCGAACAGGAUUAGAUACCCUGGUAGUCCAUGCCGUAAACGAUGAGUGCUAGGUGUUGGAGGGUUUCCGCCCUUCAGUGCCGGAGCUAACGCAUUAAGCACUCCGCCUGGGGAGUACGACCGCAAGGUUGAAACUCAAAGGAAUUGACGGGGGCCCGCACAAG